rnacentral:rRNA from 1 species
UACGAAGGGGGCUAGCGUUGCUCGGAAUUACUGGGCGUAAAGGGAGCGUAGGCGGACAGUUUAGUCAGAGGUGAAAGCCCCGGGCUCAACCUGGGAACUGCAUUUGUGACUGCAUCGCUGGAGUGCGGCAGAGGGGGAUGGAAUUCCGCGUGUAGCAGUGAAAUGCGUAGAGAUGCGGAGGAACACCGAUGGCGAAGGCAGCCCCCUGGGCCGACAUUGACGCUCAGGCACGAAAGCGUGGGGAGCAAACAGG